UUUCUUACAGUAUCCAUCUAUUAAUGUGCUAUAGCUAACAAUGGUAGGCUUAAUGCUCUUAUCUACCAUCGAAUCAAAAAGUCUCCUUGCUCUAUCCAUUUGACCUCGCAAGCAAUAUCCAUCGAUUAUCACACUGUAGGUGAGCACAUUAGGCUCCACACCUUUUCCAUUCAUGUGUCUCAUUACCUCCCCAGCAUCUUCAACUUUCCCUUCUUUGCAUAGACCAUCUAUUUGUAGGUGACCACAUCAGGCUCCACACCUUUUCCAUUCAUGUGUCGCAUUACCUCCUCGGCAUCUUCGACUUUCCCCUCUUUGCAUAGUCCAUCUGUCAUUAUGGUGAAGGUGCGCACAUCUGGAUAAAUAUUCGAAUUUACC
rnacentral:lncRNA from 1 species